rnacentral:rRNA from 1 species
CAAGAUGGAAGUGCUUGCACGGAAAUCUUAGAAAGUGGCGAACGGGUGAGUAACGCGUGGGUAACCUGCCCUAUGGAAAGGAAUAGCCUCGGGAAACUGGGAGUAAUGCCUUAUAAUAUAAAGAAGUCGCAUGGCUUUUUUAUUAAACGCUCCGGUGCCAUAGGAUGGACCCGCGUCCCAUUAGCUAGUUGGUGAGAUAACAGCUCACCAAGGCGACGAUGGGUAACCGGUCUGAGAGGGCGAACGGUCACACUGGAACUGAGACACGGUCCAGACUCCUACGGGAGGCAGCAGUGGGGAAUAUUGCGCAAUGGGGGAAACCCUGACGCAGCAAUACCGCGUGAGUGAAGAAGGUUUUCGGAUCGUAAAGCUCUGUUAUUGG